rnacentral:rRNA from 1 species
GGAUCCUGAGUACGACGGAGCACGUGAAAUUCCGUCGGAAUCUGGGAGGACCAUCUCCUAAGGCUAAAUACUCUCUAGUGACCGAUAGUGAACCAGUACCGUGAGGGAAAGGUGAAAAGCACCCCGGGAGGGGAGUGAAAUAGAACCUGAAACCGUGUGCUUACAAGUAGUCAGAGCCCGUUAAUGGGUGAUGGCGUGCCUUUUGUAGAAUGAACCGGCGAGUUACGAUUUGAUGCAAGGUUAAGCAGUAAAUGU